AUUCAUGGUAACUCUGCAGAGUUCCGCUUGGAUCUAUGAAUAUUGUUAUGCACAGAAACUCCUGCGUGUUGAUGCCUGUAGAUGGAGACAGGAAAGAGUCUUAAAUAUUUCAUAGUUCACUUUAGAAAAAAGAUUUAAACACUACAGUAUAAAAGACUAACACAAAUGUAACAUAUGGAGGAAUUAAAAUUAUUUUGAUCAACAUCAGAAUGAUGUCAAGUUAAGCAUGAGAUGAGUCUCUCGGGAGGGUACUGCUCUCAAGUGAAAUAGGGUGGGAAAUGUCAGUUCUUGGUGUCAAAUUCAUGUCUUGUUAAGAUUGUCUCAAAUUAUGGGGAAUUUGGGUUUUGUACCCGUUUUCCCCUCAUAAGCAGAUAAACUGUUUAUUGAGCUUUACUAAUGUCCAGGCUGGUAGGGUUAAUGAGAACUGCAGUUCACCAAAAUUUUGAAAGCCACUGGUUCUUCAUCAGUAUUUUAGAUUAUUUCACAUCUGCAUCUGUGUCUCAUGACAUAAGACUUUUGAAAAUGAAUGACAUAAUCUUAUUGGUGGCACAAGAAAUGUUUUUUUAAAUUAUUUUUUUCAAUCUGUUCCAACUUGUAAGCUUGUCAACACAAAGAUCCUGAAGAGAGAGAACGGCUGAAGUUCUGAAGAAUACAAAUUGUGUGCAGGGGGCUAAUUUAGCAAAGGAAUUCUUUUGUGUUUGUUUGUGGCACUAGGAGUACCCUUCAGAAGAUAAGAGAUGUGAAUUUGUCUCUUGCUGUUUGUAUCCUUGUCUUCAGAUCUUAUCCUAGUUGUAUGGUAACUAGUCUUGCAACAUCUUGGUUAAUGGUAUUUCUGAACUGGAAAAAAGGAAAGUAUCAUUCUUGAUCAGUUCCUUUCAGCUCUACUUUACUUAGUGACUUGUUUUCUGUCAUACUGCUGUAAAUGUUCAUCUCUUAUGAGCACCCACUGCUAAAUGUGCCUUUUCUGCACAGCCAGAGGCUGGGAAUAGAACUUCAUGUUUUUCUGUGUCAGAUGUUAUUUUAACCUGCUGCUGCUCAGUCUUGUUGCAUUCCCUGUUGUACAUCCUGCCAGUCUUUAUGCUAACCAUGUUGACUGAAGCCUAGAGGAGCUGCUUCAUUUUAGACAGAAUGAUAUGGUGCUCUAAAGACAGCUGAAUUUCUUGCCUAAUAUUUCAUUUUGAGAGCCACAGAAAUGGCUUUUUAUAUAAUUUUUGGAGAGGUGUUUGGUAGAUGAGGUCUGAGCCUUUCCCCCCAAGAACAAACAGAAUCAUGAGAGAGUAGAAGACUAGAAUGAAUUCAGUCAAAUUAGUGAUCAAUGUCCUCAGUUUCUUCAAUUCUCAUUCAUUCCCCAUGGAUUUUCAUGUAUAAUUAUGUGACCCCAACCUUGAAUAGGGAUUAUCUACAGUGGUAGAACAUGUGCAUAAUGCAGUGUGUUUGAAUAGAACGGGGGUAAUUUGCUGAAGAGCAGUGAUCAACAGUGAAUCAUACCAGUUUUAUUUUGCCACCAACUGUUUUACAGGCACGAAAAUAGCUUAUUUAAUUUACCAGCCUCCUAGUACUUUGACUUGCUUGCUGUUCCUCAUAGAAAAAACAAAACAGAGAAAGACAGAUCCUUGGUGAAGGGUGGCAACUUGAUGAACGCAAAGGCAUUUGCAUUAGCUGUUGUUCAGACCAAUGAAGCUAAAAAUUAAUACCAGCACUAAUGCCAUGCCAUUAGUGGAAGCCUGAUUCUAGACUCUGCUCCAGAACUUUGAUAGUUUAAUGAUUUCAAUGCCUCAAUCUCAAGCCAGCUAAGGCUGGAGGGUCUGUCAAAAUGAAGCAGUCUCAGGGGCACCAAAACAAUGGUUUAAUUGAUUGAAGUGUCAAGUAAAAUACAAAAACGAAAUGUAAGGCAAAGAUGUGGUUAGCUCACAUCUCUUCAUCUGAACGAAACCAUGAUGACCUAGGUACUACUUCAGUGGACUGGUUUUCUUGACUGGAGCAUAGCCAAUUCCCCCUUCUCAACAUUAGAGCAUAGAAUGUUAAUUUUUUUCCUGAUUAUUAAAAGUAAGUUUUUUUCUGAAAGGGAAAGCUAUUUUUCCAGGCAGAAGAGGGAUGAUCACUCUAUCUUAACAAGGGAACAAUUAAUUUCCCAGACAUUUUAAGAUGAAAACCUUUUCUGUCCCUGUAACAUGAGCUGACCUUGUAGUCUGCUAGAGAAGCCACUAUUAGUAUUUACUACAGACCUCCUUCAUUAACUAGUAAAUGACCAGUUCCUGUGUUAUGCGUCCUUUACACCUAAAGAGCAAGUGCAUAGGGAGAAUGUGAGUUAACACUCCUCACCAACUCUUCUCUAAAGUCUAUUUAUUUAUUUACAAUAUUUAUAUCCUGCCUUUCUCUACCCUGAGAAGGACUCAAGGCGACUAAAAUCUAGGUACCUACUCCUUUUUUUUUUUUGCUUAUGCAGCCUUAAGAGGGUGUUUUUUUUCCUUUCUAAACUAUUAUGAACACAGAUCAGCGCGCAUUAGAAUUCUCUAUCAUGUAGGGAUAAUGGAGUUUCAGCCUUAUGGCAUCUUGAAGACCAACAAGUCUUAUUUGGCAUAAGGUGGUUGUAGAUGCCAAUCCACUUCUAAUGGCAUCUGAUGAAAUGGGCUGAUGAAACUUAUUAGCCUUCAUGGUGCCACAAUAACCUUUUUUUUUUUUUUUUACUGUAUAUUGAAUUUGGUCCAAGGAUGUUUAACCAUUUCCUCAACAUUUGUGUGUGUAUCUAUAUAUCUAUCUAGAGAUGUUCAGAACAUGCUGUACGUAUAAUAUCAGUGUUGCCUCCUAGUAAUCUCCUGCCCUGAGGAGCUUUCACUGUGGCUUAAGCAAAAGUGAGGCUAUAUAGCUUAUUAGCCAGGCAUUUUGUUGGACAGAAUACUUCACAAGAGUGAUUUUUGGAACCUGCAUUUUGUUUUAAUACACAGCUGUGACACCUUGGUAGUCUAGGAGGUUUAAAUGGUUGCAAAACAGGGAUCUGCUGGAGCUACAUGUACAGAAAUCAGGCUUCCCUAGUCUAGUGUUCCAGUUAUAAUGAAACACAUCACUUCCUACUGAGAUCCCUAUCUUCCUUGUUGCACUAUUACAAUCCUUUCAAGGAUUCAUGUCUCAUGGUGAAUUUCAGAAUCUCCCCUCAAAUGCCUCCAGACAGAAUACACAGUAAAUCCAGAGUAUAUGGUACUCUUAAUCUUUUGUGGGUUCUUGUUGCCUGAAAUAUUUUUCUAUUGAGUUUUAAUAAAAUGCUGCAUUAAAAACGCAUUUCAUUAGGAUUUAUUUUAUUUAAAAAAAUACAGAUCAUCUGCAUCAUAUGUCUUGACAAGCUGCAAAAUAAAGUAAUUUUAGGCAAUUAAGCAAGACUGUUGCAGAGGUAGAACGGUAAUGGUAAAAGAUUUAUUCUAUUUUUAAAAUCAAAAAUAGAUGGUUAUUUUAUCUUUCCAUUAGAGGGCACUGUUACCUCGCUUAAUAAAAUCUGUUUUUGUAUAUAAGUAAGUGUGUGUAUGUUUGUGUGUGUUACCCAUAAAAAUAGGCUUGCAAAUAAGGGAAGCUGUUUCCAUUUGCUAAGGUUCAAAGACGGUUUUACGCAGCCAAAUUCUGCUCGUUUAAUACAAAGUGCAUUGAGUUAAAUGCAAAACCGAUAAUGUACUGUCUGUUUUUUUCAGCAGAUGCUUUAAAACCCCAGGUAUUUCAGUAAGCCCUACAGAGCAGUAUGUGUGUAUCUUUAAUUUCCAUGUGCUCCACCCCCACGGCUCCCAGCAACAUUUCAUUUUAAAAAAAAGAUAUGUGGUGUCAUUGCACUGACAAAUUUUGGGUGAGAAAACAUCAGGCCAUAGAGCAGUUUCUAUGGACAUAGGAGAAAGGGUCACAGGUCUAUUUCCCAACUUGGUCAUUAGUCAUACUAUCAACUUUCCUGAAGCUUCAUGUUUAAUUUACCUCAUAUAAGGUAAAGGUUUCCCCUGACGUUAAGUCCAGUCAUGUCUGACUCUGAGUGUUGGUGCUCAUCUCCAUUUCUAAGCUGAAGAGCUGGCGUUGUCUGUAGACACCUCCAAGGUCAUGUGGCUGGCAUGACCACAUGGAGUGCCAUUACCUUCCCGAUGGAGCGGUACCUAUUGAUCUACUCACAUUGGCAUGUUUUCGAACUGCUUGGUUGGCAGGAGCUGGAGCUAACAGCGGCCACUCAUGCAGCUCCCGGGGUUUGAACCUGGGACCUUUCGGUCUGCAAGUUCAGCAGCUCAGUGCUUUAACACACUUCGCCACCGGGGUUUACCUCAUAUACUUGUGUAUAAAUCAACCUUAUUUAGAAUUCAAGAUUUUGAGGCCAUAUUGUGGAUUUUGAUAUGACCCAUGGAUCAGUUAAGUGUUAUUUAAUGGAGAGAGCAGAGUGCUGGCACCGCCUGGAUGCCACUGCUGCCAUUUACCUGCCGAGGUAUUCAGAAAGUCCCAGAAUGGACUCCUUUCUCCUUUAUCACCUUACUCAGAGGAGUAGAUAGUUUCUUUUUUGAUAAGAAUUAAAGAACAGUGCAUCCAUUGAUCUGUGUAUAACUUAUAAUACAGGUUUUGGGGUCAAUAUUUUUACUAAAAUUUUUGAGACUUAUACAUGAAUAUAUACAGUACUCUAUUUUAACUAAUCUGUUUCAAAGAAAUACAUUUUGAUGUUGCUUUUAUGAAAUCAGAUACCUUAGAAGGAGAUAUUUUUUAUCUUGACAACCAAUUCAUAUUACAGGAAAUAGCAAAAUGUUUCUUGUUCAGUUUACCAAGUAGCUCUUUCUAUCUAAAUUUUAGCUAGUUAUAUUCAUUUUUAAUGGGAAGAGCUGUCUCUGAAAGAACCUUAAACACCCACAGCAUACUCACUGAUUCAUAUUUUUAGACUGAGCUGGAAAUGUGCCUGAAAUUAACAUCGUUUUUUUAUUUUCUACAUCACUUUGCAUUUUGCAAAAUUUCAUUCUGUAUCUUGUGUGGAUAUAUGACAGGUACUUAGAGCUAAUAUUGUUAGCUGUAAGGAUUUCACUUUGUACAAUGAAGAAAUUUUAAACAAAUGCAGGGAAAGUAUGGAACGAUUUUAUAAGUGGCGUGGGAAAACAUUUGUUUGCAAUUCAUAUGUUAAUAAAAAUGGGUUGAAAGAGUCACAAUCCAGAGAACUGGAAUUAGAUCAAAUAAUGCUUCAUACCUGUGUGAGUGGGGCCCCUGGUGACACAGUGUGUUAAAGCAUUGAGCUGCUGAACUUGCGGACCAAAAGGUCCCAGGUUCAAAUCCUGGGAGCAGAAUGAGUGCCAGCUGUCAGCCCCAGCUCCUGCCAACCUAGCAGUUCGAAAACAUGCCAAUGUGAGUAGAUCAAUAGGUAUCGCUCUGGUGGGAAGGUAACGGCACUCCAUGCAGUCAUGCUGGCCACAUGGCCUUGUAGGUGUCUAUGGACAACACCGGCUCUUCAGCUUAGAAAUGGAGAUGAACACCAGCCCCCAGAGUUGGACACGACUGGACUUAAUGUCAGGGGAAACCUUUACCUUUACCUACCUGUGUGAGUAUGUUUCAGUUAAUGAAAGAAGUGUUUUUUCUUGGAUUUAUGUUUUAACAGAAUAUUUAUUACCUGAAGAAGAAAUGCCAUAGAAAGAAUAGGGAAUAGGUAUAUACCACACACAGGAAUAAGCAGCUCAUCAUGCUUCGGAAAACAUUUUAUUCAAAACUAACAUGUACACUUGAAAAAAAAACAAUCUUGUCAGAUAAGCCUUGCAUAAGUAAACAAAAACUGCUGCUGUUUACUUUGCUUCUUGUAGGCAAGCACCCAGAACUACAGUAGCAUUGAAUUAUUCUCUUUCCCAUUUGUUACAUUGUUUACUAUAGCCAUACUGUUGCAAGGUGAUACCAAAAGCCUGUGCUUCUCCAGUCCCCUUUCUUCUGGGAUGCUUCUAAAAACAUCCCAUUUGACUGCUUCAUAAGAAAAAGCCUUGUGGUCCAAAUGUCUGUUAACAGAAAUAUGGCUAUAUUUUUGUGGGUUUUUUUCCUUCUUUCUCCUAGAUUCCAAGCCACAUGGUACUGUUUCUAAGGCCAAGAGAGCUAGAGCAAAUUUGUCAUGGCAUAAGGGUAACUGGGUCUACAUAAGCCACUGGAUACCUAUAAAGUAGCUAUGUGAAUUAUGGCAUUCCCUUGCUAUUCUUUUCCUUUAUGAGGCUAUUGAGAACAAAAAAAUAACAUAAUAGUAUCUGAUUUGGAGGAGGAAGGGAAGGGGAGGAAAAAAAGGAAUGUGGUAGGAUCUUUAAGAUUAACCAGUUUUUAUUGUAGCAUGAGCUUUCGUGGGUAUAAACCCACUUGUCUGAUUUUUGACUCUUCUUUGAAGAGAUCCAUCAUUUGUAAUGAGUUGUGGCAUUUGUUUUAGGCAAAAGCAACAAAGCCUUUGGUCUGCCUGCUUAAAGUGAGGCCCUGAAAAUUGUUACAAAAAGUUACCUAUUCACUCCCAUCCUCUUAGAUCUCUGGUAUCCUUUGUUUGAUUCCAUUACAGUAGAUGCUUGUUUUCAUCUAAAAAUAGCCUUCAGGUCUUGCCUUGGGAGCGUACUUGUCCAAACUAAGUUACAUUCCUACCCAUUAGUCAUAAUUAUAUGACAUACAGGCCUGUGGUGUACUCUACCAUUUAUUUUUUCAUUUUAUUUUUUGCAUUUCAUAGCUUACAAGACAAACAGCUGUUUAAGAAUCUUUUCAUUUCCUGUGGCCUAAAAUGUUAACACAAAACAUCAUCACCUUUCGGUGGCUACGCUCCCCUGGAAAAAGAAUAAUGUGUCAUUAAUCUUCCAUAUUUUGUUUAAAAACCCACAUCUUUCCUAAAUUGAUAGAAUGAAUCUCUGGAGAAAAGAGUAUGGCUGCAGGGAAUUUCACAGGUUUUAAAAAUUAUGUAGGUCCACAACCAGAGGUAAUCUAUAUGCUAAAUUAUUUAUAUUAAUCUUUUUGGGUCUUGUGUGGAUAUUUGCUGUGCAUAGCAAUAUUUUGGAAAUGCUAACUUAUUUGAGCUUAUUGACUUAACUGCCAAACAUUCCUGGUAACAAACGUGCUGAAUGUUCUGCAUGUAAGUUAUUCUGAUAACUUGUGGAAAGACCUUGGCACUGGUUAACUGAAAAUUUAUAUAAACCUUUUAGUCUUAGGCAGCUGUGAUAACUUUACACUGAAAUAUAUGAGGGUUAAAGCUAAAAUAUGACAUAUCAGAGUAAAAUUAAUGACUUUACCCUUACAUCCCUUCAUACUUGAGCUUUGGAACUGUUAAAAGGAAAGGGUUGUACAUUUUAUAUGGCUGGAUUUAUUUAAAAAUUAUAGACAUUAAAAUAUCACAUUCAUAGUAAAACAAAGUGUAAGUAUACUCUGAUAUUUUUUAUAUAUUGUUGCAUAGGGUAUGGCUUAUAAAAACUUACUUUUUAAAAAUUCAAAACAAUAUUUUACAGGUGGGGAAUUUAUGAAGUGCCCAGCUGUUAUGCUGUUGUAAAAUACUUUCAGGUUUGGCAUUGCUAACAUAUUAUUGAAAAUGCCAAAGUUUCAGUUCUAAAAUGUUUUUGAAAGCAACAGAUGUGGAACUUAAAAUCUUACAGUUUCAACAAUAACCCUUCUAGAACAAUUCCAAAAUCAUAGAUGAUAUAUACAGUCAAGUGAAUUCUGAGGCUGUAAUUGUAGGAUAUAGGACACAUUUACUUUUAAUGAGUGUUUAAUAUUAAUUUAAAUAUGAACAAAGCUAAAUUUAUAUGUUUGUUAAGAUCAGCUGAAGGAAGCCCAAACCAAGUGAUCCUUUGGUUUCUUCCUUGCUCUUGUUCAUUGAAAAAUCUUUCUUCAUUUUUCCCCGCAAGGUGAUUAUUAAUUUUUGUCUUUAUUUAUUUGGGGUGUCUGGCACUUUUAUUGGGCUUAAAUUUUAUAUAUUGGCUCACUUUAUGAAGAGUUUCCCCCUCAUUCCAUCAUAUGCUAUAUCUCCCCAAGCUGCCUCAUAAAAGGCAAAUGUUUCAGUAUUUAUUUAGUUUAUUCUUUUAUUGGAUAAAAUGAAUCGAUCCAUAGGUUUAUUGACAUUUUUGGGUGAGGACAGGAUAAAAUUGCAGUAAAUGAAAGAAUUCUUGAGGGAACGGGCUCUGCCAGUCACUGGGAACAUGGAAAGGUCCCAGUGUAUCAAAUACAGGACUUAGGGUUCACUGAGUCCCUGAAACUUUGCCGACGGCGAGCUGAUUUUGAGCUGAUCUGGUUUGGUUUGACUUCAUUUGAAUUAAAAGCAGUACUAUUGGCACUACUAUAAGCUUUGACAAACUUCCUUCUCUAUCACACCAUUGCUCCCUUCUGUUAUGUUGAUGGAAAAAUCACAUCCAUUGCAGUUUAAUCUUCAGAGUUUCUUCUAAAAACUCUGGACAUGUGCCUUCAAGUCAUGAAAUGGCUCAGAGUGUGCCCAUACAUUUUAUAGGAUUUUCUUAGGCUAGGGAUACUCAGAGGUGCUUUUGCCAGUUCAUUCCUCUGAAAUAUCACCCACAGCUUUUGGUCUUUGUUGGUGGUCUCCCCUCCAUGUACUAACCAGGGGUAACCCUGCUUUGUUUCCAAGAUUAGUUGGGCUCUUGUGCAUUUAGGGUAGUUAGGCCCAUUCACUAGAGGUAUAGACUUGAAAAAAAAUGAGAUAAUCAUCACGAGGAGCAAAGGCAAAGCAUACACGUCUGCCUUUUUUGAGCAAGUUGCAGAGGAGCAGAAGGGAAUUACUUUUUCCCCUAUCAUUUUGAUGAAGUGUAAUGCCCCCCUCAGUACCUGGCUGUCUUAUUCAACCAAGCAUUAUGUUCAUUUUAGUGUAUCUGAUUAGUUGUAAUAUUGCAAAAUAUACUAAUAACUAUAAUUCAAAAGAAAUUGAGAAUUUAGGAAUAUAUUUGUCCUAGAAAAUCUUUUGUCAACUAGCCAUCCUUAAUUUAGUAGGCUGUGGCAAUCUUGUGCUUUUAAAAAAUGGCAUAACUCUCAGAUCAACAGUUUGUGCAAAUUCAUCCAAGAACCACUGUGAAUAUUUAAUUUAAUAAGCAGUUGUUAUUUAAAGCAAGAAAACAAACAGGUUUUCCUUGCAAAGGGAUGAAGCAUUAGGAGAGUGUGUUCUGAAAACGUGCACAGUCAGAUUAUAGGGAAGAAGUAAAUGCCGACAUUUAAUCUGGUUAAUAGUUAACAGCAAAAUGGGGCGUGCGGCAUUAGACUGGCAGCUUGCCAUUGAGGCUUUCUAUGUCUGCUAAUGGUUCCCAUCUCAGCACAUAGCUUUGUAGAAAAUAAAUGUAUGUGAUCAAGUUUCAUUGAACCAACCAUUACCCUUUUCCCAGUACAGCAACAUGUUUACAUGUUGGGAUUAUCUUAGCACUGAUACGUACAGAAUGUGCUGAGAUCCUUAGCUUGAAAGAAAAUGUAAAUCUUUAUCAGUUUUUUAGGAUGGCAGCACUAGGUUUUCUGGUUUGUAGCCACAAAUCUUUUGGUGAAGAGGAUAGUUAUGUAGUUUCCAUUAUUCUCCUGCUUGAAUACAGCAUUUUCCAGGUUAUUCAUGGUUCAAGCUGCAAUUGUCUACACAAACACAAGAUGUGUUUGUGUAGAUACUUUACAAGUAUUCUGGGAUUUUGUACAGUAGUCAAGCUGCAAUUGUAGCAUAAUUUACCUGAGAGAGAGAGAGUGCCUUAUAGAACCCACCAGCAUUUACUUCUAAGCAGUUAUUCCUGAGAUCGUGUUUUAAAUUUCUGUGUAAACUUGAAAUAUGGUUUGUCUUAGCCAUUUCAAGAAGAAAAUGUGUAUGAAUAUUUUCUUAAUGCUGCUCCACCUUCCAUAAAAUGAAAUAUAAAGGCUUGGGUAUAAGUUGGAUGUUAAGGGUUCAUAUGACAUAAUUGUGGAGUUUUGAAAUUUUACUAGCAUACUUAUGACCAUAUUCUAGCACAAUUUGAAUAUGUAAUGCCUAAAAGACUAGGUAAAGAACUUUUACACAUAAGGUUAAGCUUCUCUGACCCUCUUUCUAAUGCAAUCUCUUGCACCAUUAAGAAAACUGCUUCCAAAAGUAGUUGUCUUCAGUAACUGCAACAAGAACAGUGUAAAAACUUACAAUUGGAAAUGGAAGCUUUUCUGUCUACAUUGAAGUUGCAUAUGGGAACUUAAUAUUGGAAACAUAAGUCUAAUACUGUCAAGCUAAAUAUUUUGUAAAACUGGAUUCUGAAUCAAAUCGCUUUUCAGACUCUGAAUCAACUCAGCAGGAGAUUUAAGUAUUGUAAGGGGUUGCUAACUCAAGGAUGCCAUAAGCAGCCUCAAGAAGCUGUGGUGUGGUACCUCUGUUAGGACAAAGCCUAACUGACAUGAAGAAGUGGAGGAAUUAUUAUGUUUUUCAACAUUUUUUCUUUUAAUUCCUUUAAUCACAUUAUGUGUAGUGUUUGAAGCUUAACAACGUCUUAGCUGUACACUUGAUAAUAGCAUUUUAGCAAACAUAUCAUACAUUUUAUAGCUGCUAAGCUAUACUUUUUCUUUUCAGGGAAAUUUUAACCUUUAGUGAAUAUGUCACAGAAAUUUUAAGAUUUUCAGAAGGUUGAAGUUAAAAUAUAUUACCGUUUUAAAGUCCAGCACAGUUGAUGCUUGGGUUUCUACAACUUCAUGCUGGGUAUCAUUUCCAGUUUUUAUUUGAAACACUCAAAGUUUGCUUGUAGGAGAGAUUUAAUAUUUAUUAACAUUUAUGACCAGCCAGGCUGCAAUAGUACAGGAUGGCACCCAGGCUUGCCACACAGGAUUUUGGUCUCUUGACUCUGGGGCUAGCUGUUACCAACACUGUGAUUUUACAGCAAAAGGUGUUAAAAUAUGGAACAGUUGUGUAAACAUGCCUACGAUGACUGGCAUAAAGCUCUUUAAAUGAAUUAUUAAUGUUUCAAAAUUCUUAGAAUAUAGGUCUUUAAAAAAGUUAUAUGUGAAAAACUAGUUGUGAGACAAACUGGAAUGAUACGGGAGAGGGCAGUAUGUAACUCCUUAAAAUGUAGUUUGGAAAGAUGUAUAUGACUCUUUCAAGAUGAUUUCCUCCUGGAAAUACAGGCUGAGCUAUGGUUGUGGUAGUUUCCAGUGCUACGAAGAACAUUACAUUAGGAUACAUUAAACCCCGUUUUGUCAUGUAGAGGAGGACAGAUUAUUCAGCUUUGAUUCCUUAAUCUGGAAAACGUCCCUAAUCAUGUCUGAAAUGGACAACGGAUCUGGAGUGAAGUGAGCAGCCAGUGGUUUGUACAAGUUAACAUUUAAUUUUGAAAAUAGUAAAAACAUUCAUUUUCCUACCUGAUUAUUUUGCAGAUUUAAAGCAUAUCUUUAAAUAUAAAAAGAGAAGGGAGAGAAGGUCCACAGAUAUGUUCUUCUUAAAUUUGGGAUUUUCUUAAAUGUUUAAUUUUGUGCCUGAAUGCAGUUUAUAUAAACAUAGGAUUACAUAAAGUUUUAUCAGUUGUUAAGAACGUUACGAUUGUACAUUAACAAUGCCUCAGACUUUGGGUUUGAGCAGCUACUUUCUUGGACAAAAUAGCUUUUCAUCCAAUCUCAGAAAUUAUACAGCGGUUUAGUAUUAUUAGUGUAAUGGUGCUGAUGUUGAUUUAUACCCCGCUUUUUCUCUUCACAAAGGAGACACGUAGCAGCUUAUGUGCAUUGUAGUAGUGCAUUGAAGCGUCGUGUUAUCCUGAUGGUAUUGCUGUACUCAGGAUGUCGUUUUCUUUUUUGUAUGUGCAUUUGUUGCUUUAUUUCUUAAUAAACUAUUGUACCAGUAACAACUUAAUAAUGACAAUGACAUGUUUUUAUUAAUAGAAUCCUCUGGAUUCCUUCACGCUUCAAGCAGCCAAAAAUGAGUCCUUCCUAAUUUAGCAAUUGAUUUCUAUACAUGAAAAUUGAUAUUGAAAGUUUUUCAGUAACCUAAGAUCAUUGGGGAAACCAAUUUCUGGCAGGGAAGGAGAGGUACUUGAAGCAGCAUAAAAACCUUUUUGGAAGUUGAGCAGAUCAGAUGUAAAGAAUCUGUUUGGACACUGGGUGCCACUCCUAGAACAUUGAACAUGCUGAAUAGCACCUCUUCUACAUCCAUAACAGGACACAACCUUGACAAGGAAGGCUUGUUAUUGGGACAGCUUUGAAAAUGGUUGAUCCUUGAGUGUAAUGCCAUGCAUGGGUGGAAAAAAUAAAAAUAAACCAUAAAAUCCCGGGAGGAAACUGGACUGGCUAUCCUGGCAUUUAUAGUAGACGGUCACACUUCUUUUUUAGUUUCUUUUAACUGAGUCCCUUCACUUUAUUGUAUUCCCUAGAUAAUGUGAACAGUGCAUGUAGAGUUGUAAGAAAUUUUCUUAAAAGCUGUAUUGUUUGGAGAUAUAGGGUGCUCUGCUGAGAUAAGCAUGGUGUUAUAUGGCUCAUGAAAAAUGAUAAAAGAAGUAUAAUAAAACACUUACAAUCAACAUUCUCAUUACAGCAGACUUUGAAGUACUAUCUCCCAAGCCUCAAUUCUAGGUACUUUCCUCUAUCUCUUAUCUAAAAUUCUUUAUGCUUGCAUUGUGUACAAUAGGUCUGUAAUAUACUUUGAAUAUCCCUUCUCUGAAAUGUUUGGAAGCAGAAAUGUUUUGGAUUUUCGGAUCCCCCUCCACCGUUUUGUAAUGUUUCUAUAUACAUAAUGAGAUCUCUUGGAGGUGGGACCCAGGUCGGUAAAUACAGCAUUCAUGUAUGUUUCAUUUACACCUUACAAACAUAGCCGGAAGAUAAUUUUAUACAGUCCUUUAAAUCAUAUUGUGCAUGAAAUAAAAAUUGUGUGCAUUGAACCAACAGAAAACAAAGGUGUCAUUAUCUCAGUCACAUAUGUGGACCUUUUUGGAUUUUAGAGUCUAGGAAUUCCGAGUUGAAGGAAGCUUUAACUCAUAUAUUUAAUUUCAAAGCUGAGUAUUUAUGAAAUGUAUGCAUUUUGUUAAAAAUUAUGAUUGUUGUAGUUUUUAAAGGCUGUCAAUUCAACUGAGUUUUUCUCUUGUUUUGGUGAUAUGUGAUUUAAAAAGGAUCUGGAAACAAGAAAGUGAAGUUUUUGCUCCUGGUACUUGAUUUUACAUGGCUGCAAAGUCAUUCAGUGGCUAUCUAAAACUGUAGACCAAAUGAAAGGAAACAUGUAAAAAUAACAGAGCACCUUUAUCUAGCAUUUAUAGAAUGUUUUGCCACAAGGUUAGCAUUUUUGUGUGGCUUUGUGGGGCUGUGGAUUGAAACACAUCAACCCACGCAAAACCCUGGCAAGUUUGAGUCAUCUGGAACCUCCCAAGAAACUAGUUUAGCCUUCUGUUAAAAGUGAAUAAAGCAAAUUCACAGUGGUUUCCGUGGUUUUGCCAGCAGUGGUAAAAGGUUUGACUUCUAAAAUAGACUUUCCCCCCCUUCACUUUUUCCUGGGCAAAGCUGAUUUAUCAGAGAGCUCCAGAAAACACAUGUAGGGUUAUAACGGGAGGAAUUAAUAGCAGAAACCUCCUCCUGCUGACACCAAGCAAUCUAUUAAACAGAGCAAUUGAAGUAAUGAGUACCAUGUAUGAUAAGCCCGAGCCACCUGGGUUUUAUUAGGCUGCCUUCGACUUUGAUCAUAAUAUUAUUUCAAGACUUGUCUAUGCUAAACUGCUAUAGUUGCUUGUCAUCUCCAUGAUUUAGACCUUGGUUCGAUAUAAUUCAUCAGAGGCUUGUAAAAGGCAAGGCGUUAUUGUAAAUGCAGUGUACAUUUUGGCGAGGUGCAAGUUCAGGCACUGGGAUAACUCUACAACAGAAAGAUUGGUCAGGACUUGAAAAAAAUGCUGUUAGUGUUCAAGGUGAAAAGAGCAGCAUUUCUGGACAUACCUUCAUCAAUUUGAGAAGAUGCUGUUUCUUGCCUGUCAGUGGUGGAUAACUUUUUGCUGAAAGUCAGCUUCUGUGAGCUGCAAGCUACUUUUCUGCCAGUGCUUUUAAAGUCUGCCCUUCUCUGGUUUUACCUUUCUUGCCUGAAAGUCUCCUGUUUGAAAUGGGUGGUAUCUAGCUUGAAGUCUCCAUGGGGCACAUAUAUCUGUGCUCAUUGAGGUUUGCAGUAAGGCUUUUCUUAAGAGCUUUCUCCAUGCCUGUACUCUAUGUAUGGAGUGAGAAAUAGGACUUCACCUCCAAUGGUGCAUCUACAUUGUAGACUGAAUGCAGUCCGACAUGACUUCCAAUGCCAUGACUCAGGGCCCUUCUACACUCCCAUAUAAUCCAGAAUAUAAAGACAGCUAAUCCACAUUAUCUGCUUUGAAUUGGAUUACCUGAGUCUAUACUGCCAUUUAAUCCAGUUCAGAGAAGAUAGUCUGGAUUUUAUACAGCUUUGUAGAAGGGGCCUUAAUGCUAUGGAAUCCUGGGAUGAGAGGCACCAGUGCUAUUGGCCAAGAAGGAUAAAGGCCUUGUAAAAAUAUACAGCCCCAUAAUUCCAUAGCAUUAAGCCAUGGCAGUUAAAGUGAUUUCAGAUUGCAUUAACUCUUCAAUAUAGGAUUGUUUAAUAGAACACUAAUGUGGAUACUUUUUGUUUCCUCCUUCCUGUUUUGAGUAUAUGCAUGAUUGUAGCUCUCUGUCUUUCCCUAGGACUGGUAGCAAUGAUGCAAAAUAAAUCAGAGUUUACAACGCAACCAGAUCUGAGUAAUUUUCUGCUUUGCAGUUGGUCUUGACACAGAAUUAUAACGAUGCUGUGGAUCCUAUUUACAUGUAGUUUGAACUUCAGAUCCUAAGUAGCCAUCUGGGUGCCACAUCUUCCUUUUAGAUUCUGUAGCAUAAAAUGCAUCAUUUUGCAUUCUGUAUAGAUAAGGCUGUGAUGCAAGCAUUUUUCUUUGUAUUACCUCCUCAUUUUGGAGCAGCCUUGUCUUAUUGUCCAUUAGAAAGCUUGCUAGAAUCCCACUUCUUUUGAGUUUCAAUAGGCUUUUAAAAGGCAUUUAAAAGCUUGCCUUUGCAGACUUAAAAACUAGAAGCCCAUUAACUUUUUGUUUUUAAAAAAAUGAAAACUGAAUACUUCAGUUUUCCCAUUUAGUGUUUUUCAUUGCCGCAUAAACAAUUCCUCAUCAAUUUUCAGGCAUGAUGAAAGCUCCUAUCAUUUCGAGUUCAGAUGAAGAGUAAGUUCAUUGUGAUGAUGCCAACAUACUGCAUUACUUAACUCAGAGUAUUACUGUUUUUAUUAGCUAUGUACUUCCAGAUGGAUGAUAGAUCCAGCUAGAUGAUGGAUGCAACAUUUUUGUUGGUUAUUCAUGUCUCUCAGUUUCUCUCUCAGCCCUGAUCAACUUGUCCCAAACAGUACUGGGUGCCAAGCCUGAAUAUCAUUAUAGGUAAUGCUGUUUAGCAUUUCAUGGAACCACUGGAAGAAUUCAAUGCCAUUAAUAUGUUUAUGACACUCAGUUUUGUCUGUUCUUUCCAUUGGGCGGUAGGAAGGCUUCAGUAGUCUUGAAUACUCUUGAAUUCAUGUGAAAUGAAGUGCUGAUGUGAGGAAACAAACAGGAACUUAAGCUAGACAACAUAGAGAUCUUUCAACAUAGAGAGGAAAAUGGAUGUCGAUGGAGGCACUGAAUAAGACAGUAUUGAUUUCACUUUGAAGAGGGUGAUGUAGAGUGUGGGUAGCUGUAGAUAGGCCACAGGAUGCCUUUGCCAUGGUCCUGUUGUGUUGACAGAUGUUGCUAAAGGAGAACAAUCUUGCUGUUACACAUGCAUUUGUUGCAUUCAGAUUUGAUUAAUAAUGGAGCUGCCCUUGAAGAUUGUGCAGGAACCGAGUAUGUGUGUACCUUCAAGUAGCCUGUCGACUUCUGACAACCCCAUGAAUUGUAUAGUUAUUUUUAGGGGAGAAAUACUGAAUUUGCCAGUUUCUUCUUCUGAAAUAUAGCCUACAGGACUAGGUAUUUGUUGCUGGUCUUCCAUCAAAGUACUAGCCAGGGUUGACCCUGCUUCACUUUCAUGCUCAGAUGCGAAAGCUUUAAUUACUGCCAAAUUCUAUGCAGAAAAGUUGAUCAGAACCCAGUCAUGUAACCAUGAUAUAAAGAGGCUGCUGUAUCAACUGCACUAGCUCCCAGUUACUUUCUCAGCCUAUUAAAGUAAUGGCUUUAAUCUAUGAAGAAGCUAUGUUUGGGAUUGGCAUAUCUGAAGGUUAACCUCCCAAGUCCUCCACAUGGACUUUUUCAGAUAAUCUCCUUUUCAUAAUUAUCAUGUGAACUUCAGUGAGCAGAGACAUAUGGUCCUUUUCAUAAGUGGCAUCCAGACUAUAACAUUUUUCAGCUGGAUAAGUAAAGAAAACCAGUUUCAGCAUUCUUUUUUUAGUUUGAUGAUAUGCUGUUCUCUUUAUUUUGGAUCUUUUGCUGCACACGUGUGUGUAGGAACUCUGUUUUCAAUACAGAUAUUGAUUGUUUUAAUAUUUUAUUAACUUUAAGUCAGUCUGGUUAUUUAUUUGAAGGACUGGAAUAUAAAUCAUCAUAUACAGUAGAGUCUCACUUAUCCAACAUAAACGGGCCAGCAGGAGGUUGGAUAAGCGAAAAUGUUGGCUAAUAAGGAGGGAUUAAGGAAAAGCCUAUUAAACAUCAAAUCACAUUAUGAUUUUACAUAUUAAGCACCAAAAUAUUAUGUUUUACAACAAAUUGACAGAAAAAGCAGUAAUUACUAUAUUUACGAAUUUAGCACCAAAACGUCACAAUGUAUUGAAAACAUUGACAACAAAAACAGUGGCUACUAACAAAUUGACUACAAAUAAAGAUAAAAUUGCAUAAAAUGAACUUACAGUAACAACAUUGUCAGAAAUUAAAUUCGUAAAAAGUUCAGUCUUUGCUGCCUAGAGAAAGAGCUCUGGAUCCGGGCGGGAGGCAAACUGCGUUGGAUAAUCCAGAACGUUGGAUAAGCAAAUGUUGGAUAAGUGACACUACUGUAUAAACAAUGUACCUCAGCACUUUUGUUGGACAAGUAAGACCAUGGAAAGAUAAGCCUUUGGAAAUGUUGAAAGUGCUGUCACACUUGGGAUAUCGUAUGUGGUACUGGUUGCAACACUAAGCACAGCGUUGCCAGCUGCAAAAAUGAUUAGUUUCAAUGAACAUUGGAGGAACUUUCCUAUGAGGAAAAGUUACAAUAUAUAGUUCUGCUAUUUUAGAAAUGGUCAAUAGGAAAAGACAUAAUAAAAAUAAAUAACAUUGUGUGUUGGGAAGAAAAAGUAGAUAGAAAGAGAAGUUUUUGUUUAUAAUACUAGAAAAUGGGGUCAUCUAUAUAGGGUUUUUUUUUUAUUGAAGUUGAGUGGCAUGAGAUUGGAGAGAAACAAAAGAAAAGGCUACUUCAUACAGCACAUAAUUUAAUUGUGGAUAUAUUUUGUCACAAGGUGUGCAAACAUCAACAUUUGAAUGGCAUUAAUGACAAUGAAAUAGAAGAAAGGUAGAACUAUAAAUGACUACUAGCUGUGGUGGUUAUAUAUUGUGCCUAUAACAGAGACUAUUUCCCUGUAUCUCUAUUUUUGAGGGGCCCAAUCCAGAGUGUACUAUUGCACUCAUGUCCUGCCUGUGGGCUUUCCUUAAGUAACUGACUGCUCAGUGGAGAAUUAGUGGUCCUUUGUCCCUUUUUACAUUCUCAGUUCAUUUUUAUAUGUAUUCAGGUGGCAUGUACUUGUAGACGUGCACUCAUGAUCUUGAUGCUACUUUUGGAGAGGUUGCAGUGUAAUGCUAUCUUUAGAGAGAUGGCAAUCUAAGAGAACAGUGAGCUCUAUUAACAUCGAAAGUGCCUUUGAAAAUGUAAAAAAUGUACUGCAGUUGGGAUUUUGUUAGAACGGUUCAGUUUGAAUAUCAAUUAACUCUCUGAAUCCCCAAGUAUUUUUUUUUAAAAAAAGCUUAUUGUCUUCAUUAUGUAUGCCAGCCCUUUCCUUUGGGUUUCUCCUAAUAUGAGGUGAGCAAGAGAGAAAAUCGGCAAAUAAUUAGUUGGGAGUAAGCAAUCUACGCAGCUAAACCAAAAUCCACUUUUAACCUUCAGUUUAAACGGUAGAGGUGGGAGCCUGGGUUGAUGGAAGUGAGUUGAACUUUCCCUUAAGAUCCUGCAGACUUGACAAGACUGAUAAUUGGUUUUAAUCGUUCAAUUUGGCCAUUGCUACAUCCUCCCGGGGGAGUUUUCCUUUUUCUUAAUAAGCAAUGAUGCCGAUCAGACUGCCAAGCACAACCAUCAGGUUGCAUAUUCAAGUGGCUUUAAUUUUCGCACAUUUAUAUGUGGGGCUGCCUUGUCUUACUCUUGUUAUCUCUAUUUCUAUCUCUUAAAAAGAACAACUUGAAGUAUUAAUGGAACCUAGAAUUUGAAAGUGAUAGCCAUUUUAACCUGUUACAUUAGAAAGGGGGGUAAUCUUUAAUCUUUACAUAAUUUCUUUGGGGGAGAUUAUGAUAGGAAAGAGGAAAUGCAAACAAUGUGAACUGACUGGAAAACUGCCUUUUUCAGUAGGGUAGCUGGUUUGAAGCAUCAAAAUAUACUCAGUGAUGUGUGUGUGUGUGUGUGUGUGUGUGUGUGUGUGUGUGUAUAAAAUCUCUUUGAUUACCAUCCAAUUGCAAACAUUAUAAUCUUUAUGAUCAGCAAGUGGAUGUAGUCUAGGAACCAGGAAUCAGAUCCAACUCCCACCAACAUAUCAGCCAUAUUGUCUGGCAGUGAUAGCAAUUAAAAUCAAACUUGGAGAUUCCUCACUCCAUGCUGUGUCCAGAAUUGAAAGGUAGAGUUUUGUAGGACAUGUGGGCUGUUUUUCUGUCUUCCUCUUUAGCUUAGCUCAAGAGGAAUGGGGAUUAUCACUAAGGUAGUUUUGUGCUUCAGAAGCCUAUUGAAUUGUGAUGCAACAAUACAGCAAUUUCUACUUCGCUUCUGCAUUUCAGAGCUUGCACCCAGGGAGGAUAACUAGCAGAUUGUUUUGAUCUUGUAGUUCAUUUUAGAAGUAAACUCUUGAGAUCAAGGGAAAUAUUUCACUGUGGUAUGUGUGUGUAGAAGCUGUAUGGUUCUGGUGACCACACAAUUUUUGCCUGUAAGGUCAGCCGAAAUGUAUUGACCCCUGAUACCAUUAAUUAUGAAGAAUCCUUUUUCUGUCUCCCCUCUAUCAGUUUGUGUGUCUACAAUGCUUUCUGUAUAGAAAGCAGCACUAUGAGCCUUUCUGCUGUGUUUGACUUGUCUUCAUUUUUCAUUAUUAAAAUGGCACUGAUGCAUCUUCUUUUGAAUGGUUGGUUAAUUUGUCACAGAAGAUAACUGACUCUGCUAGCCAUAAAAUUUGUUUUAUUGCCGAUACAUUUAAACACUUCUGAUUAACUUUUAUUGGGGUUGUUUUAUUAAAUUUAAUGCUUGUGAAUACUGAGCUGAGUGAAAAAUUAGCUGGUUCCAAUUUCUGUGGUCAUAUAAAGUGCUUAUCUAGGAAGAUAAUCCUGGUCAUCCUCCAAUUUUUAAUUGUAUUUAAGGAUUGGGAUGGAAAUGUCUACUAAAUAAAAGUGUGUUGUCAAAUGAGGAGCCUUUAAGACUCCAUGGUGGGAUAUAUGUAAAGAUGUAAAAAUUAAAAUAUAACAGUGAGUUGCAUCCAAUAGUUAAAGCUGUAAUCUGACCAAGAAGAAUGCUAAGCUAAUUAACUUAGAGAAAAGCUGUGAAUACAAAAACAAUUUAGGACUUAAAUCAGAAAAGGCUUCGUAACUUCUUCAGGAAUCAUUUCUGGGAGAUGUUGCUUAAACAGAGAAUGUUAAUUGGAAUAAGAUGUAAAAAUGCGUUCUGUUUGAGAAUAAGAAAGGGUUCAUAACUGCCUGAUGUCAUGUUCGGUCCUCCUUUUUUUUGUCCUUCCCUUCCAACUACCUUCUCUUUGUGCCAUUUGAGAACUGCUGUACCCAGUACAAGAUAGUUGGGAUAUCUUUCCAACAUUGCAUUGUACUCUGGUUUAUGUGUGUGUUUGUGUAAAAAGUAAGGAGGCACGGUAAGGGUGUUUAGCCAAACAGAAAGAGCAGGAGCUGUCAUGACAUACCUAAGGUAUUUGUGUUGCCUUUUCUCUGGAAAUAUUUGCAUUGUUUUCAUAUAGACACCUGAAAAUGUUGUGAGUACCCUCCUCUGACCUGUUUUGCAAGUGGAGUGAUUUGCAAAUGAAAUUGUAAGAUAAAAGGAAGGGAUUUUGCAAACACUUUUCCUCAUAAAAGUUUUAAUAAAAUACGUUAUUUAAUUAUGGAAAGGUCCAUGCUUCCAGAUAUAUUGGGCUAUAGUUCCCAUUCAUCUUAGCCAGUAUAGCCAAUAGUAAGGGAUGAUAAGAGUUGAAAUCCCAACAGCCUCUAGAGGGGCACACCUUCUCCAUCCCUGUUUUAUUGGGAUGUAUAAUCUAUUUAUUAUUUUUGAUCCUGGACAAUUAGAAAAUAACAUCUUGAGUACAUGCCCAAGAUCAUUGGUUCUCAACCUGGGGUCCCCAGAUGUUUUUGUUCUGCAACUCCUAGAAAUCCCAGCCAGUAUACCAGCUGUUAGGAUUUCUGGGAGUUGAAGGCCAAAAACAUCUGGGGAUGUCUCACAUGCAUAUGUUUUUUUAAAAAAAUCAUUAAUAAAAUUCAAAGUAGUUGUGACUGUUGCAUUCACUCGCUUGAAAGGUUUUGAAUAAUAAAUCUCAAAGCCAGGCUUCUUUACUCUUCUUCUGUUCAGAGAAUGAGAGUAUACCCAGGAGCAGUAAAAAAAAACAUUUAGCCUCUUAUGGAAGAUUUUUAAUACUGAUUAGAAUGAACAAAAAAUGGAUGUAUGUAUUUCACUUGUAUGUUGGACUGGAAGUGGGUGUAUCCUUGUCCCAUAGUAAUUUGGCAGGCAGUUUUUUAGUGACUACAUUUGUGAUCUUGACUAGGCAUCUGUUUGCCUAAAUUCCAGUCCUACCAAUGUUGAUGUGAAUGGGGACUCCUCACUUUUCUCAUAGUGAUACUCUGAAAUGAAUAAUUGAAUCCUGGUUUCUUUAGAUAUAGGGUGAUUCAGAUUAAAGCAAUUUGGGGGGAGGGGUGGCGGCUGUAGUUUACUUCAAUAAUUAAAGGGUGAUUGUGAAAGUUAGGUACUUGUUAAUAUUCUGACCUGCAAAAGAGUUGUCAGAAGGGCUUGCUCGCCUAUAGCCUUCAGUCUUCUUGGUUCAGCUGAUGAAACCCAAACUCCGAAGCCUAAAUCUGAGGAAAUGGGCCCACAAGUGGAUUCCAUCCCCAGAUGGUUAAUCUGUUGUUUUUGUAGGAAUGUAAGCAGAAGCUCAGCUGUCCAGACUAGUUGAUAUAGGAGGCCUACAGGUGGAAAGGAAAGUAACUGGCCAUAAAUCAGGAAAACCAGAUGGCAUUGAUCCAAGUUAAUAAGGCACAAAAGAAGCAGAAGUAGCUGAAUUGCUAACAAUGUGUAAUUUAUUACUCAAUGAGCCACUGUGCCAGAGCACUGAAAAAUGGUAGCUUGUAUUGUAAUCUCCUGAGAAGAAAUGUGU